AGUUCAAUAGUGCGUGAAACCACUCAAAGGUAACCGGACAGAGCUGAAUGAAGGAUUGCACAUUUGUACUUUGCUUAAUCUAAUGUUGACUUGAAGACAUUGUCGUGCUUUAUGUUGGCAUAUAUGAGAAGGCGUUGUGCUAUUGUGCGAUUCUGACACCAUGAUCGAUUAUAGAGUUAGCCUACGGGUGUGCAAGCUGCCAAAUCACUUUUGUGACUUGGUCUUAUAAGCUUUCUCGUUAGUGCUAGCUGAGAUUCGAUUCGCGGCGCUGCUUAGUGUAGCGGACAAGAUGUAUUGCGAUGUGAAGAUAAGCAGUUGACUCAUUGAGAGUUUGCAGCUUUUUCGGAUCAUUGUGAUGUGUCCUCUGUCUGUUGCGUCCAAAAUCCAUGGUGCAAUUGUAGGCAAUCUGUCCGACCCGUCUUGAAACACGGACCAAGGAGUUUAACAUGUGCGCGAGUCAUUGGGUAUUACGAAACCUAAAGGCGCAGUGAAAGUAAAGGCUUGACUUGUUCAAGCUUAGGUGGGAUCUUGGCUUUCAAUGUGUGGCUAUCCAUACAUGGGCUAGGCGCACUACCAGCUCGUCUUAUGCUUUAUUAAGUAAGGCGACGCAAGAGCGUACAUGUUGAGACCCGAAAGAUGGUGAACUAUGCUUGUGCAGGUUGAAGCCAGAGGAAACUCUGGUGGAGGACCGUAGCGAUUCUGACGUGCAAAUCGAUCGUCUAACAUGAGUAUAGGGGCGAAAGACUAAUCGAACCAUCUAGUAGCUGGUUCCCUCCGAAGUUUCCCUCAGGAUAGCUGGCACUUCGGAAACAAACAGUUUUAUCCGGUAAAGCGAAUGAUUAGCAGUAUUGUGGGAUAACAUAUCCUCAAAUGAUUCUCAAACUUUAAAUGGGUGAGAUGCUCAACUCUCUUAACUUAUGGAGUUGGGCUUUUGAAUGUGAGUGCCUAGUGGGCCAUUUUUGGUAAGCAGAACUGGCGAUGCGGGAUGAACCGAACGUCUGGUUACGGAGCCGAACAUAACGCUCAUAAGAGACCACAAAAGGUGUUGGUUGAUUUUGACAGCAGGACGGUGGCCAUGGAAGUCGGAAUCCGCUAAGGAGUGUGUAACAACUCACCUGCCGAAUCAACCAGCCCUGAAAAUGGAUGGCGCUCGAGCGUUGGUCCUAUACCAGACUGUUACCACGAUACCGACAUUGUAAGUGGUAACAAGUAGGAGGGUGCCGUAAUGAGCAUUGAAGCUUCGACCGUAAGGUUGGGUGGAGCCAUUACGGGUGCAGAUCU
rnacentral:rRNA from 1 species